rnacentral:lncRNA from 1 species
UUGGGAUCGUGUUGUAUCUUUCGCGCGCUGGACUGUUGCGAAGUGGUCUUUUAGAUCAGAACCUGCUCGAUAACGACGCGGAGACGGGAGAAGUUCCGAUGGUUCGGACUCGAGGCCUUCCUUCACCGUAUUGUAAAACCACUUACGCGUCCGUCCAUCUUGGCCUCGAGAGGAAGAGCGAGGGGAGGGAGAGGAGAUCCUCUCCCUCUACCGGCCCGCACGUCCGUCCAGCCCCUUCCCUGAGCUCUCCUCCGUCCUCCCCAUAGAUCGGAGGGUAAACCCCCUUAUGGUUCGCGUUUGUCCAUCUUUUUCCCCGAGUUGGACGAAGAAAGAGAGAUAGGGACGGAGAGAGAAGCUCUGCUCCUCCGUUCAACGGCUCUUACCUCCGGCCAGCCCCUGUCUUCCGUCCUCUCCGGCAGUCGAACAACUGCCUUCUCUCUGCGUUAGCUGGAGCCAGUGCAGUAGUCGUCGAUCGCCAGAUGUCUGAUGAAAUGCCGAACCCAAAAAUAACAACUGCCUGGUCUCUGCAUCAGCUGGAGCCAGUGCAGUUGUCGUUGACCGCCAGAUGUCCGAUGAAAUGCCGAACGCAAAAAUGUCUCGGAGCGUGAGGCUCAUGAGGGACACUCGUUCCUGGACGCGAGGAUUCAUGCAAACUCGUCUUGGAGCUAGCAAGCAGUGCAUUAUUGAUAUUGAGGGAAGAUUGGAAGCUGGCUUGUUCUACAACUUUUAUGGGACUUCAGAUAUUGUGGAUUGUGAUCUUGGCUAGCACUUAUGUUGAGACCUUAGAUACUGCCAAUUGUGAUUUGGUUAGCACCUAUGCAGGGUAGCUUGGCUCAAUGGGUAUAUUACAGGCCAAAACAAGGG